rnacentral:rRNA from 1 species
GACAGAGGGUGCAAACGUUGUUCGGAUUUACUGGGCGUAAAGCGCGUGUAGGCGGCUUUGCAAGUCGGAUGUGAAAGCCCACGGCUCAACCGUGGAAGUGCAUCCGAAACUGCAUGGCUGGAGUCUCGGAGAGGAAGGUGGAAUGCUUGGUGUAGAGGUGAAAUUCGUAGAUAUCAAGCAGAACACCUGCGGCGAAGGCGGCCUUCUGGACGAUGACUGACGCUGAGACGCGAAAGCGUGGGGAGCACACAGG